ACCUGGGGCCAAUUAAGAUCCUUCCAGAAAGCAGUGGAGACAGCUAGGUUGACUGGGACACCUGAAGCCAAUCAGGGGCUGGCCGAAACUAGUUAAAAACCUCCCAGUUAGUCAGGUGGACACGCAUGUCAGGAGCUGUGGGAAGAAGUUGCGCUGUUGGAGAGACUGAGCAGCACACAUCAUAUCAGGCACAAGGAAGGAGGCCCUGAGGCGUGAAGAUGGUCUUAAUUACCUUGAAGUGCUGUCCUCCCUCUGCUGCAGCACCCACCAGGCCCUUGGACCACUAAAUUCACACUUCUGCAAGUUCCCAUUGAGCACUUCAGAGAUCAACUGGGCACAGCAGCAGUUGACAGUGUUUAGAUACAGCAGAAGUAGAGAGCAAACAUGAAAAGAAGAAUGCAGGAAAGACACAGAUGAGGACCCUAUAAACUUUAGAAUACAG